rnacentral:rRNA from 1 species
GUCGAGCGCGGGAAGCGAGCGGAUCCCUUCGGGGUGAAGCUCGUGGAACGAGCGGCGGACGGGUGAGUAACACGUGGGCAACCUGCCUGUAAGACCGGAAUAACCCCGGGAAACCGGGGCUAAUGCCGGGUAAUACUUUUCUUCGCAUGAAGGAAAGUUGAAAGAUGGCUUCUCGCUAUCACUUACAGAUGGGCCCGCGGCGCAUUAGCUAGUUGGUGAGGUAACGGCUCACCAAGGCGACGAUGCGUAGCCGACCUGAGAGGGUGAUCGGCCACACUGGGACUGAGACACGGCCCAGACUCCUACGGGAGGCAGCAGUAGGGAAUCUUCCGCAAUGGACGAAAGUCUGACGGAGCAACGCCGCGUGAACGAUGAAGGUCUUCGGAUCGUAAAGUUCUGUUGUUAGGGAAGAACAAGUACCGUGCGAAUAGAGCGGUACCUUGACGGUACCUAACGAGGAAGCCCCGGCUAACUACGUGCCAGCAGCCGCGGUAAUACGUAGGGGGCAAGCGUUGUCCGGAAUUAUUGGGCGUAAAGCGCGCGCAGGCGGUUCCUUAAGUCUGAUGUGAAAGCCCACGGCUCAACCGUGGAGGGUCAUUGGAAACUGGGGAACUUGAGGACAGAAGAGGAGAGUGGAAUUCCACGUGUAGCGGUGAAAUGCGUAGAUAUGUGGAGGAACACCAGUGGCGAAGGCGACUCUCUGGUCUGUUUCUGACGCUG